UACGGAAGGGGCUAGCGUUGUUCGGAAUUACUGGGCGUAAAGAGCGCGUAGGCGGCUUACCAAGUUGGGGGUGAAAUCCCGGAGCUCAACUCCGGAACUGCCUUCAAAACUGGUGGGCUCGAGUCCGGAAGAGGGGAGUGGAAUUCCCAGUGUAGAGGUGAAAUUCGUAGAUAUUGGGAGGAACACCGGUGGCGAAGGCGGCGCACUGGCCCGAGACUGACGCUAAGACGCGAAAGCGUGGGGAGUAAACAGG
rnacentral:rRNA from 1 species